rnacentral:lncRNA from 1 species
AACACAAUGAUGUAACUUCACUCUGCAUGAUUAUGAACUCUUCGCAUUAGUAGGUGUUCGUAGAGUAGGCCUAUCCCUACAGCAGGGGGUGAACUUGUUCUAGUCACCAAUGCGAUGCAGCGCGGGAGCAUGAGUAAACACGCGGGGCGGUACUCGGGCCAGGGCAGGUGAAAUAAGCGGAUGAUGAAAGCUACUCGGUACAGUCCUGUUGUGACUUUGAACCUAAUUUAGCGUUCACCGAAGUAGUCUGCCAAAACCUUCAAGGCAAAGUCACAAAAUAGUUUACCACUUUGCGUGGUUCUGGUAUUGUAGAUGACAGCGCGAUAACGCAAAGAAGGAAUGUGACUCGGGCAGGAUCACCUUUUCCCACGGGAUAGCUUCUAUAAGCAUAUCUCUUUUUCGUACAUGGUGCCUUCGUACUCUGCGGAUAUCCCACUCCUCAAACUCAGGAUACUUUCCAUGUUUGAACGACCAAACCAGUAGGCUACAUAAUGAGUGACUUUCGGCGCACCGCUUUUAGAAAAAAGAAAUCGUUCGUGGGAUCAUCGGAGGAGCAACCUGACGAAUGCGAAGAGAGGGCAGCCAGGCACAGCUGUUUCACCUCUGAGAGCUCAGAGAAAGAGCCGUGUGUUGUGGUGAAGAUCGCUCACACCCAAGCGGUGGGCAGUGAUAGUGACAGUCAGGCUAGCAGGAGGAGGAAGAGCAGCACAGGCGGCAGUGACCAGAGUCAGGGGGUCAAUGGAAGAAGGUCCGGUCGCCGGCCCCCUCUACAGCCCAAACCACAAGUGCCUCCUAAGCCUGUUCAUCUGCAGAGUCCGGUGACGGCUCUCCCACACCCCCUGAGCCGGACCCCACAGAGGAGAUCUGAGAUGGAGGACCGAGGAGGAGGAGGUGGAGGAGUAGGAGGAGGAGGAGGAGUGGCAGGGAGAGGGCGAGCAGCAGGAAAUGGGACAGGAGUUGGAACAGGAGGUGCAGCUGGGAAGGGCAGAGUUCUGAACCUCAUUAGCCGCUUUGAGGAGGGCAGGUAAAAAACUAGUGUGUGCGUGUGUGUGUGUGUGUGUGUGUGUGUGUGUGUGUGUCUGUUUGUGAUAGGAAAACAGAUGGAAAGAUGGAAAAUAAUCUUACACACCCACUGUGUAAUUAAUUAUCUGCCAUUGUUAGAUGAUAAUAACAGCACUUGGAGGGCCUGUAGGCCUACAACACAAAGGACACAUUUACACAUUGUAAAAUAUGCUCAAAUCGUCUCCAGUUGACCUUCAGGUCCAGAUUCAUGGCUAGAUGGGGGACGAUGAGUCCCUGUGAGGGCAGCAGCUUUGUCAGCUUUUGAGAGGAGCUGUCCCUGUCGGCUAGCUGUGGUGUGAUGUGAGGUGACACGACGUGACAUUAGGGGCUGUGGUGUGUGAAGGGUGGAGCUGUAGAGAGGAGGUCAUUGAUGACAGGACUGAAUCACUGAUGGCAGUGUGUGAGAAAGAUAUGGGAUAUGGAAAGGGGGUCGUGUCUAAUACAGCAGCCAUAGACAGUUCUUCCACAAGAGAGUCGUAGUCCUUUAAACUCGCUUCUGCGCCUCAGAUUCUGCUCUUUAAAAAGUAGAGAUUUGACAUCACAUGUAUGAAUCGGGGCACAUGUGUUUGUAGGGCAGCCAGUCUGGGAGUCUCGCCAGUAUCCAGUCACUGAGUGUCAAAUGGAAUCUGUCAUUGUAUUGAUGAUUGGAGUUCACACAACAGUGCAGUUGUGACCGGCUUGUGCUUGGAUUUUUUUAUUUGUGUGUCUGUGUGUCUGUGUGUGUGUGUGUGUGUGUGUGUGUGUGAGUGUCUGUCUCUCUCUGUGUGUGUGUGUGUGUGUGUGUGUGUGUGUGUGUGUGUGUGUGUGUGUGAGUGUCUGUCUCUCUGUGUGUGUGUGUGUGUGUGUGUGUGUGUGUGUGUGUGUGUGUGAGAGUGUGUGUUUCUGUGUGUGUGUGUGUGUGUGUGUGUGUGUGUGAGUGUGUGUGGGGGGGGGGGGGGGAUAUGUGUAUGUGUGUGUGUAAUCCAU